rnacentral:piRNA from 1 species
UACAAGGAGCCGGCCUUAACAAGUUUGAUGU